rnacentral:rRNA from 1 species
AUUGAACGCUGGCGGCAUGCCUUACACAUGCAAGUCGAACGGUAACGGGCCUUCGGGUGCCGACGAGUGGCGAACGGGUGAGUAAUGUAUCGGAACGUACCUUUCAGUGGGGAAAACGUAGCGAAAGUUACGCUAAUACCGCAUAUUCUGUGCGCAGGAAAGCAGGGGAUCGCAAGACCUUGCGCUGAUUGAGCGGCCGAUAUCAGAUUAGCUAGUUGGUGAGGUAAAGGCUCACCAAGGCGACGAUCUGUAGCGGGUCUGAGAGGAUGAUCCGCCACACUGGAACUGAGACACGGUCCAGACUCCUACGGGAGGCAGCAGUGGGGAAUUUUGGACAAUGGGGGCAACCCUGAUCCAGCCAUGCCGCGUGAGUGAAGAAGGCCUUCGGGUUGUAAAGCUCUUUCGGCCGGGAAGAAAUCGCAUGGGCUAAUACCCUGUGCGGAUGACGGUACCGGCAUAAGAAGCACCGGCUAACUACGUGCCAGCAGCCGCAGUAA